GAAGAAGAUAUCCCUCAGAGGCAACCAAGGGAGCCUAAAAUGCCGACUAACUAGAAAAUGUAGAAGGUUUUCACUAAGUCUGCUUAACUGAGUGUGAUGUUUACCGAUUUUGUGUAGCCUAGUGACAAGAAGAACACCAUACAUGCCAUCAACAUAAAAUCCCAGACAUAAUACUCCAGAGUACGCCAUGAAUUUUUACCCAUCAACAUUGUAGCUAGAUAGUUCCACUCUUCUUGGAGCCUUCUAAUCCCUAGGGAUUGGAAUCUGUCAGUUGUACCCAUCCUAAUAGCGAUGUCCUCGUCCAUAAAGUCACAUUUUGGAUCAUAUCGAAUUAUCUGAGAACUCCUACGAGUGAGCUAGGUUGGAUUCCCUCAAGUGCGAUCAGCUCAAUGAAGUAUUUCAGAGAAGCCCUUAAGAUUUCCCUCCUACCUAACCAUAACAGCUUCUAGUUGACCCAUUAUCCACUUAUAUUAGUCAUCAUCUCGCUCCACUCUUCUUGCCUAUGUGGGGAGACCCAAUGUCUCACCCUUUCAUUGUGGUUGUAGAUCAUGUUGCUGACACCCACAAAGUACUCAAUGAAGGUCUCUCGCUGGAAGAAAUUCUAUGUCCCACAUAUGAAGUACCAAUAUACAACCUUUAAAGAAAUCAUACCCACCUUCACAUGCAAACAAAACCCUUAGAGUCUUAGCUCAAACCAUCGGCACUAGAGUAGUUUGAAGGUUGCCACGGAAGGUCGACAAAACUGCGGGUAAUGAGUUGAUGUUGAUCUGACCCUUCCUCUACAGGAAGAAGAAUAGUCCCAACAAUGACAAUGAGAAAGUGAUAGUCCUGAUAUUGUCCCAUGUUGCAUGAUCACACUAAAGCUCCCCUGAAUACCACUCAUAGGUUUCGCGAUGUCCAAAUCCAUUGAACAACUAGUCUAGUCUCACCCAUCCAUUUUCGAUAUUUC
rnacentral:lncRNA from 1 species